GGGGUGGGGGGAGGCAGAGAGGACGCGGACAAAGGAGGCGGCCGGCAGCCCAGCUGUUUUGAAAAAUGCUUCCUGUUUCUUUAAAGGCGCUCGCGGCUCGGGCGGCCGGGCUGGGAGGCGGUGGCGGCGGGAGCUGCCUGCUCUCCGGGCGGCGGCGCUGACUGAUCUCGCGAACCGGGCUUCUGUGUAAACUGAGGCUAAACAAACACAGAUGGGGCGCAGCGGGCGUGCUCCAGAAAUGCUGGCACGGCGGCCGCGACUUCAGAGGACACUCUGAGCGCUCCGGGGACGGACUGCCCGGCAGCUUCGCGGAGCCGGCGGCGCAGCUGCCCCGCGCGCGGGGGAGAGAGGAGAGAGGAGAGAGGAGAGAGGGCGGGCGGGCGGGAGGGAGGGGGUGAGCGCAGGGGAGAGCGCGAGCCUCCGAGGCGCCGAGAGCGACGGCCACCGGGCAGAGCCGGGCGCCGCGUGCAGAGCGAGCGCGGCGGGCGCGCGUCCCGGGCAGCCCCACGCCUCCGCCUCGCGCGCGGCCCGCGCCAUGAAGCACAUCCCGGUUCUCGAGGACGGGCCGUGGAAGACCGUGUGCGUGAAGGAGCUGAACGGCCUCAAGAAGCUCAAGCGGAAAGGCAAGGAGCCGGCGCGGCGCGCGAAUGGCUAUAAAACUUUCCGACUGGACUUGGACGUGCCCGAGCUAGGCGCCGCGGCCACCAACGGGCUGCGGGACAGGACCCAGCGGCUGCAGCCGGUCCCGACCCCGGUGCCAGCCGCAGUGGCGCCGGCCGUCCCCUCAGGUGGAGGCCCGGACACUGCUGGGGAGCGCGGGGGCGCCCGGGCGCCAGAGGUCUUGGACGCGCGGAAACGCGGCUUCUCCCUGGGCGCUGUGGGUCCGGGACUCCCCACGCCGCCGCCGCCGCCUCCAGCACCCCAGGGCCAGGUACCUGGGGGUCCGGAGGUACAGCCUUUCCGGGAACCCGGCCUGCGUCCCCGCAUCUUGCUGUGCGCACCGCCUGCCCGCCCAAUGCCUUCCGCGCCCCCUGCGCCCCCGGAGACCUCCGUGCGCCCUGCGCCCCCCACGCGCCCCGGGGAAAGUUCCUACUCGUCAAUUUCACACGUAAUUUACAAUAACCAUCCGGAUUCCUCCGCGUCGCCUAGGAAACGGCCCGGCGAAGCCACGGCCGCCUCCUCGGAGAUCAAAGCCCUGCAGCAGACCCGGAGGCUCCUGGCGAACGCCCGGGAGCGGACGCGGGUGCACACCAUCAGCGCAGCCUUCGAGGCGCUGCGGAAGCAGGUGCCGUGUUACUCAUACGGGCAGAAGCUCUCCAAACUGGCCAUCCUGAGGAUCGCCUGCAACUACAUCCUGUCCCUGGCCCGGCUGGCUGACCUCGACUACAGCGCCGACCGCAGCAACCUCAGCUUCUCCGAGUGUGUGCAGCGCUGCACCCGCACCCUGCAGGCUGAGGGGCGUGCCAAGAAGCGCAAGGCAGACUCUCCUGGCUCACCAGGGGCUCUGGCCGUAACUUCGCAGCUCGCAGACGCCUGAGACCUCCACGGGCCCUCCCAGCCUGGACACAGUGUGAUCCUUGAUUCACGCCAUGUUCCUGCCCUCCGCACACAGCAGCCAACUCCAGCUGCUCAUAAAUUUUCUGCCUGUCACCCAUGGCGCCCAGGCCAGGCGGGGCGGGAGGCGCUGGGGGUGGCCCGGCCGUACCUGCUUCCAGCUCCCUGGGAAGUGUGGAGGCUGGAAGCCCCGAGCCUGCGCUGGUGCCCAGAAUAACCUCAGCGAAGCCGGGCCCUCCGAGAAGAUGUGGAAGCAGAUCUGCCAAAUGCAAAGAUGCAUGGGCUGCUGGGGAACACAUAAACACCAGCUCACGGCGCGGUUUGCACGGCAUAAUUCUACUUCCAUCAAAUGCCGCAUCGGUGAUGUCGCAGAGGGAAAGGGGCACCCACCCAGUGCUGUCAGGGGUUUUCUCUUGGUGGGGAGAUCGAGGAGUGACUGGCCCUGCGCUGGACCAAGGACAUGCUGUGGGCCCUCUUUCCAGUCGAGCCCGAGGAGAAGGGAGCUCGCCAAGUCCAGCCUCGUCUUCUUCAAGGUGCCGCCCGAUGCUCAGACCACUGCCUCUCAGGGUCAGACAGGAACACGCUGCCUCCCUCUCGCCCUCCCGCCCUCCGGGCCACUCCACGGUGACUGCACUUUGCCCUCUGCCUGGCGGGGAGGGGAGAGCUCAGCCUCCCUCUUGCCUGGGGCCCGAGGCCCACCUUCCGGCUGCAGCAAUUCAUUGCCAAAGACACCACAGAGACACUGAGCAAGACGUGGUGAGGAAACCCCACGGAGAAAAGCCUCACUGGUGCCCUGUGUCCUGUGCCCUCCUGGUGCCCGCUUCCAUCUCAAGCCAAAGACGAGUCAGCAGUUCCACCAGAACUCAUGGAAAGGAGGGAAGUUUGGUGACCACUGGGUGCACCUGACCUUCUGACCUGGACCCUUCUUUCUACACUGAGCCCUGAGCUAGUGGGGUUCAAGAUAAGCCCCCGGGGGGCGUGAGAGGCAGGCUGGGGUGCCUGUCCGGAGUGGGAUCUGAGAUCCCGGCCCCCUUCUCUCCCUCUAACCGGCUGCCCAGGCCUCUGGCCCUGGUUCUCAAUGUUUCCUGGGUCCAGGCUUCUCUUCUUGGGCUCUGAGCACCAUGGGAAGGGGGGACACGGGGAAAAGAAGCGACAUUGACCACCCUAUACCCCACCCCAGGGACCUGCUCAAGGAGACCUGCCUAGGGGGUCUUUGCUCCCCAGCCAACACUCCCUGCCCAUGGCCGGCCCUCCUGGCCGGGCAAAGGAGAUGGCGCCUGCUUGGAGGCCAGUGUUCUCUUACUAGUUUCGCAGGGGGCCGAGGGAGGAAGGGACCAGCGGAAUGGGCCAGUAUGUGGGGGAGUGGGCAUGUGUAACGCCAAGGCCUUCUCCUUUCUUUGCUCAAAUGGCCAAAGCUGUUCAUAUCUGUGCUCAACCGUCUGCUUCAAAUUGAAGUAAAAGCCCCAACGUGUAAAGAAAACGCUUGUGUCGAGUGGACUCUGUGGGUGAGCAGGGCUUUGACUGGUGAGUUGGGGGUGGGGUGGGUGCUGGAGGAGGGGAGAGGUGGAUCUCUGCCUAGAGAUUGGGGGCCCUUCAGGAAGUGGGCAGUGUGUAAGAGUGUGUGUGUGUAUGUGUAAGAGUGUGUGUGUGUAAGUGUGUGUGUGUGUGUGUGUGUGUGUGGACGUGCACACACAAGCAAGGGGCAGAGGGACACUCACCAUGGCCUCCGCCUGCACUAAUGACCAGGGGGCCUGGCAGGAACAUGUGGAGAGCUCGCUCCACUUCGUGCCUCACUCAAUCCAUAGCACAAGUGCAUGAGGUGAGGGCUGUACUUUCAAUCCCAUUUUAUAGAUGAGGAAACUGAGGCCCCAUGGAGACAUGGCUAGUCAGUGACAGCUGGUUCUCAAACCAGGGUGGCCUCACUCCAACUCCUGUGCUCUUAACCCCUCUCCAGCCCCCAGGCGGUCCCAGCUCUAAGUCCUUGGGUGGCCUUGUCACGUCACCUCAUCCCAGUACGCCGUGCCUGAGACGGGGCAAUAAGGGCCCAUUGCAGACGGGAGGGCACUAAGAACAGGAAAGGACUGUGUGGAAGGGCUGUGUGGGUGGCAGGGCUGCCCCAGGGGAGGGAGGCGAAGAGGGAAGAAAGCUGUGCUCAUGCGGGAUGCACCUCUGUCCCUUGUCCCUCCCAUGUCAUCCUCUCCUGUCUGCUCCGGGGGCUUCUGGGCUGGGGCUGGGGUGUCUGCGGGUGAAACACUGUAAGAAGCCGCCUCUUGCACGCGUGGCCCCUUGCAAGGACCAAUAUCUGGGCAGAACCCAGGGACCAAGAUUGCUCAGAGUCCCCGGAACACACACACACACACACACACACACACACACUCACACACACACACACUCACACACACACACACACACUCACACACACACACUCACACACACACACUCACACACACACACUCACACACACACUCACACACACACUCUCACACACACACUCAUACACACACACACACUCACACACACACUCACACACACACACUCACACACACACCUUCUUGUGUGUACAUGCACUCCAGACACACACUUAUGUACAUUCCCAGGUAAGGGAAUUUCAUUUCAGAUAGAUUCAAAUUUCAUCAGCUCCUGGGAGCCAGCCAGCCAGAGUGGGCUGGAAUGGGGGCUGAGAGGGGACAGUUAGGAAGGUCAGUCCCCCUGGGACUCCAGACACAGGGCACAGCCCCACCCAGUUGCCCCUCUGGCCUCUGAGUAAUGCCUGUGGCACUUCCUAGGGAAGCAGGAAAUGGGACCCAUCAGCACCAAACUUGGCACCAGGGGACUCUCUCUGUUACUAACGGGUGGGGGAAGUACCCCCAUCCCACUGCCAGGGGACCAGACCCAGAAACCACCCAUGGCCUCCCCUGCCCACCCCUUUCCCGCUCAUGGCCUUCAUUGCCCACUUCCCUUUCACAACAAAGCUUCUUCUGACCACCAGCGGCAUGCCGCCACGAGGCUGAGUGCUGGUGAUAACGAGAUGGGUCCCAUGGGUGCCUGUCUUCUCAGAACUCAUGGUUCUGUAUAGACAGACAGACAAUGAUAUUUCAUCAGCAGUCUCUAGACAGUUUUCCGUAAGCAGCCCUCCAAGAAGACCCUCACCAGAAUAAACAUGUUGAUGAGCACCCUUCUGGGCCCCAGGAGGGCAUUCCCACACCGGCCGAGGGUUCCUGGUCCCAGAGCCACCUGCAGAUUUGUUUUCUGCUCACCCUCCUUGCUCUGUCGUUUGCUCUGGGUCCUGGCCCCAAAUGCAGUGAUGGCUCAUCAGUCACCAGCCACAGAGGGGCACGGGGACCCGCUCCAGGGACCUGGGGACCUGCGUGAGAGGCUGUGUGUGCACAUCUGCGUGCGUGCCUGGUUCCUGCAGCACCCAUGCCGCCUCCACUCGGCAGGAGGAAACCACAGAGCACGGCCCAAGUCGGAGGGCUCCCCAGCUCACAGGCCGAGCCUCACAGGCUCUUCAAAACCCCUGUGCACGUAGCUGCCCUGCCUCCUGGUCCUGGCCUCAGACCGUCCCAGAAGAGAGGCCUACGUUCUGGGGAGGGGGUUCCACAAGUCCUUGGGUCCCUUUUGGGGAUCACAGCUGGGCCUGAGCCCCGGGUGGAUUCCAUCUCCCCACACUGUACUUCUUCCUGUCCCCAUGGCCCACCACUCUGCCCUGGGACCUUCUCCUUCCCUCCUCCACCUCACCGUGUCCUCCAAGGCCCUGAUUACCACCCCCCCCCCACCACCUCCCCUUUCUCACAAGCCAGGAGUGGGCAGGUCCCAGGGGCUGAGAACUGGAGAACACAGCCAUGGGCAGGGACUGUGCUCGGAGCUGGGGGAACCGACAGAGCCCCUCUGUGCCCACGAUAGGACAGAGCCGUGGGCACAGCGGACUGGGCUGAGACAGGUGCCGUGCAGUCAGCAUGGGAAGCAGGCGAUGGGGCUGGAGCAUGGACUGCGCUUGCCCUGCUCCUUCCAUGCUGCUUCCUGGGCUACAAAGUGGGCGGUGCCAGCAGCCGGAAUGACAAAGAGCCUGGCCUUUGGAGAGCAAGACUCGGACGUCGCCAAGUGUUUCCUUUCAGUGUGUGGCCAUUCUCACUCUGACCUCUUGCCACCACCCCACCUGCACAGCUGUGCUCUGUUUCGAGGCUCCAGGGGUACAGGGAGGCAUGGAGGGGGCCCUGCCUGGGCUGGGGCUGGCAUGGGUGUGGGAGGGGCAGCUGGCCUCACCCUUUGCCCAUGGGUGGUCAGGUCACCUCGUGCACAUUCCCACUGGUCCCCUGGGCCCCAGACCAGAGUGUCUGCCUCCCUGAAGCCAGGUGCCCCGAGGAGUUUGGAUGUAUAAACUAGGACGGUUUUACAGGUGUCUGGGCACGUGUUUAAUCUUCAGAUGGUGCCUCCCAGAGGGCAGAUUGGGCAUAAUUCAUCUCCUUUGGAAAGGGCUUGCAAAAUGUAUAUGUUAAUUACUUUGUUAAAGAAAUGAAUAAAAGUGGAAAAUAUG